rnacentral:rRNA from 1 species
UAUAGUUUAUUUGAUGGUACAUUACUACAUGGAUAACUGUGGUAAUUCUAGAGCUAAUACAUGCGUUAAAAUCCCGACUUACGAAGGGAUGUAUUUAUUAGAUACAAAACCAAUUCGUGGCAACACGAUAUUGGUGAGUCAUAAUAACUUUUCGAAUCGCAUGGCCUUGAGCCGGCGAUGCAUCAUUCAAAUAUCUGCCCUAUCAACUUUGGAUGGUAGGAUAGAGGCCUACCAUGGUUUUAACGGGUAACGGGGAAUAAGGGUUCGAUUCCGGAGAGGGAGCCUGAGAAACGGCUACCACAUCCAAGGAAGGCAGCAGGCGCGCAACUUACCCAAUCCCGACACGGGGAGGUAGUGACAAUAAAUAACAAUACAGGGCUCUUUUGGGUCUUGUAAUUGGAAUGAGUACAAUUUAAAUACCUUAACGAGGAACAAUUGGAGGGCAAGUCUGGUGCCAGCAGCCGCGGUAAUUCCAGCUCCAAUAGCGUAUAUUAAAGUUGUUGCUAUUAAAAAGCCCGUAGUUGAAUUUGAGGAGUAAAGUUUAGGUCCAUUGAAAGAUGAGUACUUUAA